GUUGCCAACCCGCCUUGCUCCAAAAUGUUCUGAAUUUCUUAACAAGAGUGAUAGGAUCACUAAGUAUUUUGAAUUGUGUUCGUAGUUACGGUAUAUUAUUGUCAAGCAUGAAUCUAUGAAACUAAUGUUACAGAAAUACAAUAGCCCAUGAUGGACAGAAUUGUGGGAAUUGAAGGUAAACGGCGAAGCUGCUCGCCAGAAUGGCCAAGGAUGCCCAAUCCCAAGGUCUGUAUAUAUAUAUAUAUAUAUAUAUAUAUAUAUAUAUAUAUAUAUAUAUAUAUAUAUAUAUAUUUAUAUAUAAUGUGUGUGUGUGUUUGUGCCACAUACACUUUGAAACGCAUUGAGCAAUCUCAACCAAACUUAGUACACAUAUAACAUAUCAUCGGGGAAAAAAUACUGUGAAGUAAGACAUCACUGGCACCAAAGAGGGGGAUGGGAAAGUGGGGAAAGUAAAAAUAAUUGAAAACUACAAAUAUUAGUGUCUAAGCCAUAGUUUUCGAGGUCACAGAGAUGAAUAAUGACACUCCUAAUGCCAUUCUAGUCCAAGUUCAACCCCAGUAAGAAAGGGGAUGGAUGAUAAGGGGUUGGAAGGGGGUGACGUAAAAAGCGACCUCAAAAGCUAUGGAUCAGACACUAAUAUCUGUAGUUUUCGGUUAUUUUUUAGAUGUCACCACCUUCCCCAACCCCUUUACACAUCAUUUCUAUCAGGGCUAACCUUGGACUAAAGGGCAUCGAAGUGUCACUAUUCAUCUCAGGGACGUCAAAAACUAUGGAUUAGACACUGGGUGUCAAUGAUGUCGUACCCCCACACUAUUCUUUCACCGAUGCUAUGUUAUAUGUAAACCAAGUUUGGUUGAAAUUGCUCAAUGCAUGUAAAAGUGUAUGUGGGACAAACACACACACACACACACACACAUCUCUUAAGACUUUGGCCAAGCCAUGGUCUAAAUAUUUGGAUCACGGUUCAUCGUUGCCUUCGCCUAGGACCACGGUCUUCUAUGAAGACAAUGCCGGAGGCUGUGUGUGAAAUCCAGGUGAUUCAAAAACAUCCAGCCUCAUCCUCAGUCCCAGAUAGCUACUCUGGAAAGACAGACGUGUCUUCUCCUCUGACUGGAAGUCAGGCCUUUGUCGUCCCACGCCGGUUGGCCCCUGGUAGGACCCCUUCAUACAUUACACACAUGUUCCAGCUUCAAAGGAUUAAAGAUUGGCUGAGUCAUGUGUCCAAGUCUCCGUGUUCACAAGUGCUGCCCUAACGCAAGAUAAACCUGAUUUUGGCCAGCUUCCCCCUAUUGUGAGAGAUAGGAUUGGUCCACAUGCAGACAAGUUGCAUUUACUUUUCCCCAAGCCAUUC